rnacentral:rRNA from 1 species
GACGAACGCUGGCGGUGUGCCUAACACAUGCAAGUCGAACGGAAAGGCCCUGCUUUUUUGGGCUGCUCGAUUGGCGAACGGGUGAGUAACACGUGAGUAACCUGCCCUUGACUUUGGGAUAACUUCAGGAAACUGGGGCUAAUACCAGAUAGGAUCUCCUGCUGCAUGGUGGGCGUGGGAUAGUUUCGGCGGUUGGGGAUGGACUAGCGGCUUAUCAGCUUGUUGGUGGGGUAGUGGCUUACCAAGGCUUUGACGGGUAGCCGGCCUGAGAGGGUGAGCGGCCACAUUGGGACUGAGAUACGGCCCAGACUAGUACGGGAGGCAACGGUGGGGAGUAUUGCACAAUGGGCGGGAGCCUGAUGCAGCAACGCCGCGUGGGGGAAGACAGCAUUCGGGUUGUAAACCGCUUUCGCCUGAGACGAAGCGUGAGUGACGGUAAUGGGUAAAGAAGCACCGGCUAACUACGUG